rnacentral:rRNA from 1 species
UACGAAGGGGGCUAGCGUUGCUCGGAAUGACUGGGCGUAAAGGGCGCGUAGGCGGAUGGCACAGUCAGAUGUGAAAUUCCCGGGCUUAACCUGGGGGCUGCAUUUGAUACGUGUUGUCUAGAGUGAGGAAGAGGGUUGUGGAAUUCCCCAGUGUAGAGGUGAAAUUCGUAGAUAUUGGGAAGAACACCGGUGGCGAAGGCGGCAACCUGGUCCUUGACUGACGCUGAGGCGCGAAAGCGUGGGGAGCAAACAGG